GCUCGCUUUGACAGGACACACUAAAAUUAGAACAAUACCGAGAAGAUGAAUUAUUAGCAUGGCCCCUGCGCAAGGAUGACCUGCAAACUUGUGAUGUGAUACAUACUGUU